rnacentral:misc_RNA from 1 species
GGAGCAGCCAACUGUAACCAGUGACACAAGUAUUUUCAGCAGCUGCAAGAAAGAAUGGUGGCUUGAAGCUGUAAGAGUUGCAGACAGCAUUGAGAAUGUACAGAAAGCAUUGGAUCUUACUGAGGAGGAAACAUGUGAAGAAGAUGAGUGGUGGAUGGCUGUCGAAGAGACUGCAUACCAGAUCGAGCUAUCGUAUUUUGGAAAAG